AGGUCAGGAGCUGUGCACUAAGAGUGCCUCGAACCCCGCCAGGUCCGAAAGGAAGCAACGGUAAGAGGUUGCUCUUAGGUGCCGCAGUAAGCCUGGCUGGAGC
rnacentral:SRP_RNA from 1 species